GACGAACGCUGGCGGCGUGCUUAACACAUGCAAGUCGAACGGAAAGGCCCUGCUUUUGUGGGGUGCUCGAGUGGCGCACGGGUGAGUAACCCGGGAAUCACCUUCCCUUGACUUUGGGAUAACUUCAGGAAACUGGUGCUAAUACAGGCUUGGAGCUCCUGCUGCAUGGUGGGGGUUGGACAGUUUCGGCGGUUAGGGGUGGACUGCGGGGUUAUCAGCUUGUUGGUUGGGUAGUGGCUUACCAAGGCUUUGACGGGUAGCCGGCCUGGGAGGUGGGCCACGCUCCUGGGGCCUGAGAGACGGCCCAGACGCCUACGUGAGGCAACAGGGGGGAAUAUUGCACAACGGGCGGAAGUCUGAUACAGCGACGCCGCGUGCGGGAUGACGGCUUUCGGGUUGUAAACCGCUUUCGCCUGUGACGAAGCGGGAGUGACGGUAAUGGGUAAAGAAGCACCGGCUAACUACGUG
rnacentral:rRNA from 1 species